rnacentral:rRNA from 1 species
CCUACGGGAGGCAGCAGUGAGGAAUAUUGGUCAAUGGGCGUAAGCCUGAACCAGCCAUCCCGCGUGAAGGAAGAAGGCGCUAUGCGUCGUAAACUUCUUUUCCAGAGGAAUAAAAUUUCGUACGUGUACGGAACUGAAGGUACUUUGGGAAUAAGCAUCGGCUAACUCCGUGCCAGCAGCCGCGGUAAUACGGAGGAUGCGGGCGUUAUCGGGAUUUAAUGGGUCGAAAGGGGACUAAGGCGUCAGUGUUGAAAACCUUCAGCUUAACUGGAGAACUGCCAUUGAUACUGUUAGUCUUGAGUACGGUCAAGGUAGGCGGAAUGUGUAAUGUAGCGGUGAAAUGCUUAGAUAUUACACAGAACACCGAUUGCGAAGGCAGCUUACUGGGCCAUUACUGACGCUGAUGCACGAAAGCGUGGGGAGCGAACAGGAUUAGAUACCCUUGUAGUC